rnacentral:rRNA from 1 species
UUCCGGUUGAUCCCGCCGGACCUGACUGCUAUCGGAUUGAUACUAAGCCAUGCGAGUCUUUGUAGUAAUACAAGGCAUACGGCUCAGUAACGCGUAGUCAACCUACCCUAUGGACAAGAAUAAUCUCGGGAAACUGAGCAUAAUUCUUGAUAGAUCAUAAUGCCUGGAAUGGUUUAUGGUUAAAAUGAUUCGUCGCCAUAGGAUGGGACUGCGGCCUAUCAGCUUGUUGGUGAGGUAAUGGCCCACCAAGGCGAUUACAGGUACGGGCUCUGAGAGGAGAAGCCCGGAGAUGGGUACUGAGACAAGGACCCAGGCCCUAUGGGGCGCAGCAGGCGAGAAAACUUUGCAAUGUGCGAAAGCACGACAAGGUUAGUCCGAGUGAUUUCUGCUAAAGAGAUCUUUUGCUAGUUAUAAAACCACUAGUGAAUAAGGGGUGGGCAAGUUCUGGUGUCAGCCGCCGCGGUAAAACCAGCACCUCAAGUGGUCAGGAGGAUUAUUGGGCCUAAAGCAUCCGUAGCCGGCUCUGUAAGUUUUCGGUUAAAUCCAUGUGCUCAACACAUGGGCUGCCGAAAAUACUGCAUAGCUAGGGAGUGGGAGAGGUAGACGGUACUCGGUAGGAAGGGGUAAAAUCCUUUGAUCUAUCGAUGACCACCUGUGGCGAAGGCGGUCUACCAGAACACGUUCGACGGUGAGGGAUGAAAGCUGGGGGAGCAAACCGGAUUAGAUACCCGGGUAGUCCCAGCUGUAAACGAUGCAGACUCGAUGAUGCAUUGGCAUAUAGCCAGUGCAGUGUCGCAGGGAAGCCGUUAAGUCUGCCGCCUGGGAAGUACGUACGCAAGUAUGAAACUUAAAGGAAUUGGCGGGGGAGCACCACAAGGGGUGAAGCCUGCGGUUCAAUUGGAUUCAACGCCGGG